rnacentral:tRNA from 1 species
GCCGGUGUGGCGAAAUUGGCAGACGCACCAGCCUUAGGAGCUGGGGCCGCAAGGCAUGGGGGUUCGAGUCCCUCCACCGGCAUCA